CCUACGGGAGGCAGCAGUGGGGGAUAUUGCACAAUGGGGGAAACCCUGAUGCAGCGACGCCGCGUGUGGGAAGACGGUCCUCUGGAUUGUAAACCACUGUCCCCAGGGACGAAGAUGACGGUACCUGGGGAGGAAGCUCCUGAUAACUACGUGCCAGCAGCCGCGGUAAUACGUAGGGAGCGAGCGUUGUCCGGAAUUACUGGGUGUAAAGGGAGCGUAGGCGGGACUGCAAGUUGGGUGUCAAAUCUACCGGCUCAACCGGUAGCCGCACUCAAAACUGCAGUUCUUGAGUGAAGUAGAGGCAGGCGGAAUGCCUAGUGUAGCGGUGAAAGGCGUAGAUAUUAGGAGGAACACCAGUGGCGAAGGCGGCCUGCUGGGCUUUUACUGACGCUGAGGCUCGAAAGUGUGGGGAGCAAACAGGAUUAGAUACCCCGGUAGUC
rnacentral:rRNA from 1 species